GCCGGAGUGGUGGAAUUGGUAGACACAAGGGACUUAAAAUCCCUCGGGCUUAUAGUCCGUGCCGGUUCAAGUCCGGCCUCUGGUACCA
rnacentral:tRNA from 1 species